rnacentral:lncRNA from 1 species
UAUCAAUGGUGUCACGGCUUUUUUGGAUGUGGCUGCAAAGCAGGGAUAUGAAGAGGUGAGGUCAGUGGGAGGAGCAGGGAAAGGCAGCAGGGCUGUAUGGGACUUGGCCUCAGGGCUUUGUUCACCCUGUAGCAUUAUAGAAGAUGGGUUCCCAGAACUCUUCCAUUAGGCUCACCCAGUAAUACGGAUGAGUGUGUGGGGCAGGCACUUGAGUUGGAACCUGCGGUGGUGGAGACAGGACUUCUCAUUUCUGACGAGCUCCCACGCGUUGCUAUGAACACUGUACUGAGAACCUCUGAGCAAUCCAGUGCUCAGGUGUGGUGCUGCAGGGGCGGCCAUCUACAGGGCCUGUGUGGAGGAUGGGCAUGAUUUGGGGGCCUAGAUGAUUCACUCAAUUAAAUAGCAAGACCCCAGCUCCUGACUGGGGGCCCAGUUAGCUUCAUUCCCUCAGGGGCAUAAUGGGGAAACCUGGCAGGGGUUGACAGGUCGUGACCCAGUGGGGCCUGGGGAUAGCCAGGCUUCACUGUGGCUCAGAGUGUCAGUGGUAGCAACUGACACUCUGAGGCUCUGACUCUGUUCUACCUUGUCCGGUGCUUGGCUCUUGGACUGGCUGAAACCAAGUCCAAACCCUAGAGGGGGUGCCAGUGGGAAGAACUGAUGGGGGUGCUGGGGAGCCAGAAUUCAUCAGGACAGAGGGGAUCCUUGGAUGGAAGAUAGUAGAGACUUAAUGGAACUGCUUUCUGGAGGAGCACUUUCCAAGCUCCUGAAAGAACACACAGGAAAAGCAAGAAGACUCAAACAUGUUACUGAAAGAAAGCUUUUUUCCUGAUCCUGGAGGAGGGGAACAUUCUCAGCCCCUUACUCCAAUCUUAAUUUGAAAUCAGGCCUGGCUUUAAGAGGCUCCAUUUCAGAGCAGUUCAUCUGGACCUCAGCUGUACAUCAAAAACAAAGACUUAAUCAAAC